rnacentral:rRNA from 1 species
AACGAACGCUGGCGGCAGGCUUAACACAUGCAAGUCGAACGCCCCGCAAGGGGAGUGGCAGACGGGUGAGUAACGCGUGGGAAUCUACCUAGUUCUACGGAACAACACAGGGAAACUUGUGCUAAUACCGUAUACGCCCUGCGGGGGAAAGAUUUAUCGGAAUUAGAUGAGCCCGCGUUGGAUUAGCUAGUUGGUGGGGUAAUGGCCUACCAAGGCGACGAUCCAUAGCUGGUCUGAGAGGAUGAUCAGCCACACUGGGACUGAGACACGGCCCAGACUCCUACGGGAGGCAGCAGUGGGGAAUAUUGGACAAUGGGCGAAAGCCUGAUCCAGCCAUGCCGCGUGAGUGAUGAAGGCCUUAGGGUUGUAAAGCUCUUUCAGUAGGGAAGAUAAUGACGGUACCUACAGAAGAAGCCCCGGCUAACUUCGUGCCAGCCGCCGCGGUAA